AUUGAACGCUGGCGGAAUGCUUUACACAUGCAAGUCGAACGGCAGCACGGGGCAACCUGGUGGCGAGUGGCGAACGGGUGAGUAAUACAUCGGAACGUGCCCAGUCGUGGGGGAUAACGUAGCGAAAGCUACGCUAAUACCGCAUACGAUCUACGGAUGAAAGCGGGGGAUCGCAAGACCUCGCGCGAUUGGAGCGGCCGGUGGCAGAUUAGGUAGUUGGUGGGGUAAAGGCCCACCAAGCCGACGAUCUGUAGCUGGUCUGAGAGGACGACCAGCCACACUGGGACUGAGACACGGCCCAGACUCCUACGGGAGGCAGCAGUGGGGAAUUUUGGACAAUGGGCGAAAGCCUGAUCCAGCCAUUCCGCGUGCAGGAUGAAGGCCCUCGGGUUGUAAACUGCUUUUGUACGGAACGAAAAGGUGCUCUCUAAUACAGGGCGCUCAUGACGGUACCGUAAGAAUAAGCACCGGCUAACUACGUGCCAGCCGCCGCGGUAAUAC
rnacentral:rRNA from 1 species